AAUUAGUUGAGUUUACCAAUUUAUUAUCAUCUGCUCUUUCAUUGUCAAAACUCACGUGCAACUCAAUUUCAGAAUCACUUAAAUCUUCAUAGCAUGUUCUUUGGCCGCGGUCCCUAAGAUUAUAGGCAAUCUUCUUUGGUGUUGUCCCUGAAAGUUUAGAUCAUACAAUAGCAAUUUUAUUUGUCAAAACAUUUGCGACAAAACAUUAUAUAGCUAGCGUAAAAAAUCAUUUUUGUAUAAGAAACAUUUGCACAAACAUUCAUUAGCAGUUUGAAAUUGGAAUUGGAUUCUCUACGGUAAUUGUGUGAUGCAGUUAUUGAUUUCGAUUGUCUGGUCAAAAUUAGUGUUAUUAAGUUGAUUUAGUUAAUGUAUAAUUUGAAUUGUCUGAUAAAAAAAAUUAGUUUAUAUCUGUCAAAAACUUUCAUCUAUAAGAUUCUUCACAAAAACUAGCUGUUACAAAUAAACAUCUGUUCUUUCUUCAAGUGACUAUGAAUUGAUGAAACA
rnacentral:lncRNA from 1 species